GGAGCUGGCCAGGCAGCCGCUGCAGCGCAAGUUGCAGAGGAAAGUCCGGGCUCCGCAGAGCAGGAUGCGGGGUAACUCCCCGGCGCGCAUAUCCGAAGGCGACGAACAGGGCCACAGAGACGAGUCGUGCAGGUCGAAACACUCGCAAGGGUGCUCGGGUUGCACGGGUGAAACGCGGCAACCUCCAUCCGGAGCAACACCAAAUAGGCAAGUGCGUGUGGCGACACACAACGGCCGGCUCGGCCGAACUUGCGGGUAGGUGGCUGGAGCCGGGGGGCGACUCCCGGCCAAGAGGAAUGGCUGCCGGAGCCCCGCCUUCGGGCGGGUGUCUCGCACAGAACCCGGCUUAUCGGCCGGCUCCCUUU
rnacentral:RNase_P_RNA from 1 species